UCCAAAAAUAAAUUUUCAUUCGUAAAUAACUUCUCAUCCAUAAACAAGAAUUCAUCUCAUUAAAAAUAUCAUUCUAACUUUAACAUUUUUUGCCUAAGUUCAUCAUCAUCCAACUAAACCUAACAUCCUCCAAUUAACCUAAUAUCAUCCUACUGGAUGGGUUCACCUUGCAAUUUGUUCAGAGAAGGAUGGACUUCGGGCGGCGUAGGUCUUGAUCGCAAGCCCAAAGCAUGGACUCUCCUUCCAGCAACGUAGUUCGAAGGUGAACACUCCGCUCGUCCUUAUCCCAACAACUCCCUUGACUGUGCUUGCGGCUUUAUCCAACACCGCAUUAGAUACUCACAGCACCAUCAGUCGACGACCAUACAACACGCCGCAGUAGAACCCACGCUGAUCACAUGGCAAGGAGGGUGACGCCGCAGCACCUCCACGAAAAAUACAACCGAAUUGAACCGGUUAAGAACACACCAGUAGCGGCACGGUAGACAUCAAUACACAAGAACCACACGACAAGCUC
rnacentral:lncRNA from 1 species